rnacentral:lncRNA from 1 species
UUUUUUUUUUUUUUUUUUUUUUUUUGCUUUUUAGGGCCAUAAAUGCAGCAUAUGGAAGUUUCUAGACUAGAGGUCAAAUCGGAGCUUCAGCAGCCAACCUAUACCACAGCCACAGCAACACCAGAUCCCAGCAGCAUCUGCGACCUACAGCACAGCUCAUAGCAAUGCCAGAUCCUCAACCCACUAAGCAAGGCUACGGAUCAAACCUGCAUCUUCAUGAAUACUAGUCAGGUUCACUACUGCUUAGUCACAAAGGAAACUCCCCAGACAACUAUUUUUAUUAGAUACUCUAACUCCUUAAUAACUAGAUUCUGCAUAAAACAUUUUAUUGGCUUUGUUUACCCAUAGAGUUAAGAUAAUUGUCUAACAUACCAGGGCAAUAAAAGGAAAAAGACAGGACCUAAAACUGGAGUUGUCAAUGAAAACCCAUGCAGAGAAACUGAGAGUGAUAAUCCCACCUGGGGACAGGUGUCAAUAGACAUAGUGCAAAAGGGUAGGCAUUUAUAAAAACUAACAAUGCACUUUUGGAAAUUAAGAAAUAGAUUCUUUAAAUCCAAGCUCAGAGGUUAAAUCUGAAUUUAUGAACCAAAGAUGGACCUGAAAAAUCACUCAGAGAACAAUGGAGAGGCAGGUGGAAGAGAUAUUAAAGAAAGGAAAAAGGAUAUGGACGAUAGCUUCCAUAGGAUAGGAAACCCUAGUGAAGACUUAGUAGGAAGCUCAGGUACAAAACAGAUUAGAAUUUUCCAAAAUUGAUAGUAAGCUUGAAGCCACAAGUACAUUAUCUAGUCACGAUUUAAAAAAAAUUCAGGAGUUCCCGUCAUGGUGCAGUGGUUAACGAAUCCGACUAGGAACCAGGAGGUUUCGGGUUCAAUCCCUGGCCUUGCUCAGUGGGUUAAGGAUCCGGCGUUGCCGUGAGCUGUGGUGUAGGUUGCAGACGUUGACUCGGAUCCCAUGUUGCUGUGGCUCUGCUGUAGGCCGGUGGCUACGGCUCCAAUUAGACCCCUAGCCUGGGAAUCUNNNNNNNNNNNNNNNNNNNNNNNNNNNNNNNNAAAAAAAAAAAAAAAAAAAAAAAAACCACACUUACGCAUCUUAGCAUCUUAUAGUAAAUCUGUAUGACACACACAUAAUCUUAAAGCCGAUAUAGAGGACACCUAGCACACAAAUGACAGCCAACUACUUAUCAGCCAAAAUGAAAUCCAGAAAACAAUAAAAAACUAUUUUUCAGGAAUGAAGCCAAAAUAAAGAUACUUGCAGGUAAACAAAUAAACAAAAAGUGGAAGCAUGACCCACCCAAGACGACAUAAAUGAAACUUUAAAGAUAUUGUUUGAGAUGAGCGAAUAUAAGCUGAAGAAAGGUUUCAGACUGAAUAACAAUGUGCAAGAGAAUUAGUAAAUAUGUAAAUGAAACUAAACACAUACUGGAUGUUUUAGAAUACUUGCCAGUGCUACCCAAAGGUUCAAUGUUAAAAGAGCAUUGAAAUAAAAGGCUAGCACAUAUGAGCAUAUAAUUCUGGGUAGAGUGUUCUAAAAUAUAUCAUAGAGAGUGGCUAUUUGGUAUGGAAGCAAAUGGACCGACUCCUCUAUAUUAAGGUGUUUAAUUAUUUGAGUUAACCUUCUAAACUUAGAAAAACUAUCAUCUCUAAAACAAAUCAUUUUUUUUUUUCUUUUCUAGACUCUGAACUUGAUGAAAUCUGGCCAAGAGUAAAAGGGAUUUUUGAAUCAUUGGCCCCAAAAUAUAGUUCACGUAGUGGGAUGUAAAUAUGAUUCAGAGUAAAUGAGUGGAUAAAAUGAAUAAAUAAUAAGGCUUUUCCUAUAUUAUCACAUAAUUUGAUAAUGUGUUUAUAAAAAAAUAAGAAAUAAAAAAUCAUUUAAUUUACUCUGUAGACAAAUAAAGAACAUCUAUAAUUUAUUAGUGAUUAGUAAGUGGCACAGUGGAUCCUGCACUCAGCAUGACCUCUGCAGACCUGGAUUCAUUUGUAGUUCUUUGUUAUGUAACUUGUUGAGCUCUGUGUCUCUGUUUUCUUAUACCUAAUACAGGGUAAUAGCCAACAUACACUAUUCAUAGAGUUGAAAUUAUGAAAAAAGCAAAUGAACUGAUGUAUAAGAAAAAGUUUAGGAAGUUAUAAAAACACAGAGGAUAGUUAAGUAAAGCAUCAUCAUUAUUAUGCAGAGAAAUUAUAUAUAGAAAUUAAUUUAUCUUAGAAUCACUUUUAAUUACAUUUAAACAUAUUUGUUCACACUCUGGGAAAAAUUAUAAUAUUUUAGAAAAAUUUAAAAACAUAAAGUAUAAAAAAGGAAAAAAUUUUAAUUCACCAGACAUCCAAGCAUAUAUUGAUAACCAUUAUAAAACUGAUAUUAUUGUGGUCAACUUACUUCUAUCUGUUGUACUACUGCUACUGCUAAUGCUACUAACACACACACACACUUAUGUACACAGUGUUAUGAUUAAUUAUAAUAAUAUUUAUGUUGUGUACCAUGUAUUGUGCUGUGCUUUCUUUUCGCAUACCAUUCCAUUCCAUAUGAGAAAUACUCCAUAGUUUAAAAUUUUUUCAUCCUAGGAGUUCCCUGGUGGUGCAGCAGUUUAAGAAUCCAGUGUUGUCACAGCUGUAGCUCAGCUCACUGCUGUGGAAAAAGUUUGAUCCCUGGAACUUCUGCAUGCCAUAGGCGUGACCAAAUAAAUGACAAAACUUUCUCAUUCUACAUUAUUUUUAGAUAGACAACAUCACAUUGCAAUGAAAUAACUAUAUUUAAGUAUUCUUCUACAGAAUAUAGAUAGAUAUUUUACCACUUCCUACUAAUGAAAAUAACAUGAAAAUAAACAUUUAUAGAAUCUUUAUGUCAAUCUACCAUUUUUCCUUCAAAGUAAAACAGAAUGAGUUUUUCCUAAAUGGUAUAAACAAAAACUCAAGAUGCAUUAACCCAGGGGUUCCCAUUGUAGUUCAGUGGGUUAAGAACCUGACAUAGUGUCCAUAAAGAUGUGGAUUUGAUCCCUGGCCUCAUUCAGUGGGUCAAGGAUCCAAUGGCAAGCUGCAGUAUAGGUUGUAGAUGUGUCUCGGAUCUGGCAUUGCUGUGGCUGUGUAGGCUUGCAACUGCAGCUCUGAUUCUACCCCUAGGAACUUCCAUAUGCUGCAGGUGCAGUCCUAAAAAAAAAAGUAGAAAUAUGUUAAUAAAAAUAAUCAAUUUUCUUAAAUUGUCGACCUCAUGUAUCUGGAAAAUUCAUGAUUAAAUUAUUAUUAUAUGAUUUGUUACUACUACUAACAUAAAUAUGACCUUAUUUUAUUAUAUUAAACUAUAAAAAAAGCACAUGGAUCUUUUUAAUUUAAGAGAGAAACCCUAGAUUAUAUAUACAAUAUCAAGACAGGUUAGAUAAACAUUUGAAUUAUAGAUGUAUUAUGGAAUGUUACAUUAUAUUCAGGAAUAAUCUGGGCAUGUGAUAUGGAUGUGAUGAACAAUGAUUCUCAAAUAUAUGUUUUUUGAUUUGUUCUUAGUACAGUAAAGCAUUAGUAUGUUAUAGUCUCAUUUUUAUCAAUGAUGCCAUUAUAACUAAAUAUACAUCUCAUUAAUUUGUUGUAUAAAGAAAAUAAUACCAUAAGAAUUUUCUGAACUUCCUGGCCAUAACUGAAACCACCUUUGGAUAAAAUUUGAGUUGUGGCACAGAAAAUUAGAGUCAAUCUAUAAAUGGCAAACAUGAAGAUGUAACAAAUAUGAAUUCAGUUGACCUCAUACCAACUAUGUUAGUCCUCAGCCAAUAACACCAGCUGCAUAAGAACCAGAAGUCAGGAGCUCCUGUUAUGGCUCAAUGGAAACUAAUCUGACUAGUAUCCGUGAGGAUGCAAGUUCAACCCCUGGCCUCGCUCAGUGGGUUAAGGAUCUGGCAUUGCCGUGAGCUGUGGUGUAGGUCGCAAAUGUGGCUCAGAUCUGGCAUUGCUAUGGCUGUGGCAUAGGCCAGCAGCUACAGCUCCAGUUCAAUCCCUAGCCUUGGAAUCUCCAUAUGCCACAGGUGUGGCCCUAAAAAGACAAAAUAAAAAAUUAAAAAAAAAAUAAAGAAUCAGAAGAUGGCAGGUAAAACCCAUAAACCAAAAAUAAUUUAAUAGCAUAGCUUAUGCAUAUAAGAGGAUUCAGGUCUAAAAUUGACUAGGUUAGUAAGAGAUGCCUGAAGUCUCAUGGAAAUUUAAAGGAGAGGCAAUGAUAUUUUUUGGGAGUGGGUGGAAGAAGAAUGAAGUAUGGGACAAAAAGUCUAACUGCAAGUAAUAAACUAUUAUAUAAAUACCACUAGCAAAGUACACCCCUCAGAAUAUUGGACAAAAUGUGUGGUAUCUAAUCACAGAAAUUUUGAGCUGGAUUCUACUUAGGAUUAAUCAAUUCAUCACACAGAGAACCAUUUAUGAAAACAGUGACAACUAAUAUCAAUCUAAAAGCCUGAUGGAAAGUAAGCUAUAGAUUUAGAUACUUUCUUAUCUUCAAAGGAAUAGUGUUAGUGUUCUCCCAAGUAUUUUCCUCUAGAAAGAAUAUAUUCUUUCUACUUUAAAUAUUAGUUAUUUUGUUGAAAUCUUCUGAAUAAGACCAUUUGUCUAUAGAAUUUAGAGGUAAGAGUAGAUGAACUAAUCUACCUGUUUUGCUCUCAGAGAGCACAAUUUUAUAGACAGCCUCUCUGAAUUUACUCAUGUUGUUGGUUUGGCACUGAGAAUAAAAAAAUGCCAAACAAAUGUAAAUUUAGUUGAAUAUCUUUAAAACCAUUUGCAGACCCUAAACAAUCUUGAAGAGCUAGGAAAACAGACUGCAGAAAAUAAACAUUGACUGGGCAUUCACGUUUGACAAUUUCACUUCGAACUCGCUGUCUGAAUUGAAAAUGUACAUGUUCAAAGAGAUAAUUAUAAAAUAAUUUGAGAAAAUAUUAUUUACUCCCAAAUACCUUAUUCAAAUUUUUAAUACUUAAGUCAAUGGUUAUAUCAGUUGAAAGGUGUUAUCUGUACCACAAAAUUUUCUAUCAAUUGCUUCUUUUAUACAUGAUGUUUUACUGCAUGUUCUUUUUUUUUUUUUUUUAACUUUAGCAGUGCUCCAUUACAAAGGUUUAGAGAAAGAAUAGCUGCAAACGAUUACACUAGAUAGUGUGAGUAUAUUCAUAUGUCUUUGUGUGGUCAGUAUGUUUGUCUGUCUCAUUGAUUAAGCAGGAGGGAAAUGAAAGAACAGAGCUGUUUUCAUGCUUUUGACUUUAGGGUAGUUUCACCAGUUCUUAAAGGAGCACUAUCCUUGAAAGGAUGAAGUGGAACAUGAUAAACAGACAGAAUGAGCAAAAGGAUAAAAUUGGGAAGCAGAAAUAGAACUGUCAAGGGGUAACAGGGAAUAGAAGACAAGUAGACAAAAGGAAAUGAAGAACUUGAGCUGUUUACAAAGCAAAAUAGCUUACAAAUGCUAAAGCAUCCAUCGUUUUAGUAUUAAUUUCAGAGUAUUGUAUAAAAUGAAAUUCUGGUAUUCAGAAAACUGCCCUCAUCUUAAACACAUUCAAUUUUCAUUACCCAUAAUGAAAAAAAAACCUAUUUCAAAGGCAAUGAUAUAAUUACUAUUAAAUACAGAUAUAGUCCAAGUCUACUAACUCUUAAACAAUUAAAGCACUGAAACAUAAUAUUUUCCAAAACUCUAUACCCCUCUGAAAAUAUAUACAGCUUUAUGAUAUUGUAAACUGUUAAAUAAGAGAAGCAUCAAAGAAACAGUGGAAUUUUUCUUCUUUUCUGUGACUUGAGAUAAACUAAAUCAGUAGAAAUUUUCAAAGCAGCAUAAAAAAUAAUUUGCUGCAUUUAGCAUUGGCUUAGGGGGUGUUAAAUUGUGACAGGGAAUAAAUAACCAUAAACUAUGUGCAGGAAGGAAUGCUCUAACAAGCUAUAAUAGGAUGUGUAC